rnacentral:rRNA from 1 species
GACGAACGCUGGCGGCGUGCUUAACACAUGCAAGUCGAACGGAAAGGCCCUGCUUUUGUGGGGUGCUCGAGUGGCGAACGGGUGAGUAACACGUGAGUAACCUGCCCUUGACUUUGGGAUAACUUCAGGAAACUGGGGCUCAUACCGGAUAGGAGCUCCUGCUGCAUGGUGGGGGUUGGUAAGUUUCGGCGGUUGGGGAUGGACUCGCGGCUUAUCAGCUUGUUGGUGGGGUAGUUGCUUACCAAGGGUUUGACGGGUAGCCGGCCUGAGAGGGUGACCGGCCACAUUGGGACUGAGAUACGGCCCAGACUCCUACGGGAGGCAGAAGUGGGGAAUAUUGCACAAUGGGCGGAAGCCUGAUGCAGCAACGCCGCGUGCGGGAUGACGGCCUUCGGGUUGUAAACCGCUUUCGCCUGUGACGAAGCGUGAGUGACGGUAAUGGGUAAAGAAGCACCGGCUAACUACGUG